CCAUCCUUAUUUUCCAAUCCUAGUAGCUCUAAAUUUUGAAUUCACAUGUCUUAUCCGACUUUAUACCUAUCAAAAGUUCCGAAGCUAAGGCAUGUGACAACCUAGUAGCCCUUGAAGUUCUGCUGCUCACAAGACUGAUCACCAGCAACUUCACUUUUAUUUUCACGCCAAGCAUCAAACAGAAGCUUAACACCAGCAUUCUAUCAAAAAAUCAAGGCUACACCUCCUCUGGUUUAAAUUUGGGAUUUAUGCAUAAUUCUUUUAUGAAAGAUUUUAUUAAUUGCUAGUUUAGUUAGGAUAUCUAAUUAGAUUUUGUGAUUUAAUUCUCAGUCUAAUUAGUUAACCCACAAAUUUACACUCUUUCGAGACUAGUUGAAUGAUUAAGUCCGUAAGCGCAUGUGACUCCAAUUGAUUUCAUUCAUUCAUCCAAGGAUGUUAUAGAGUUCAAAGAGUUUUCUCUUGAGAAUAAAAUUAUUAAGGUUUUAUUUUUUAUUUUCUUAGAGAAACUAAAAAUAUUUCUAUAUCGUGUUGGUAGAUUCCAAGAUUUCUUAAUGAGUUUCACAUACUCGUCAAGCUUUGAUGGUAUCAAAGCUAAUUUUCAUAACCUUGAAUAUGUUUUGUGCUCCUUGUUGCUUCAAAAAAGGUUUUGCUUGCACUUACUUUCCCUUUUCCAACUUGAUUUCACAGACUUCUGCAGCAGCAAUUGUAACCCCCACCAACCAUCUUNN
rnacentral:lncRNA from 1 species